rnacentral:tRNA from 2 species
GCUUCAGUGGUGUAGUGGUAACAUAGACGCCUUCCAAGCAUCUGCCGGGGGUUCGAUUCCCUCCUGAAGCA